rnacentral:rRNA from 1 species
CCUACGGGGGGUAGCAGUGAGGAAUAUUGGUCAAUGGGCGAGAGCCUGAACCAGCCAAGUCGCGUGAGGGAGUACUGCCCUAUGGGUUGUAAACCUCUUUUGUCGGGGAGCAAAAGCCGGACGUGUCCGGCUGUGAGAGUACCCGAAGAAAAAGCAUCGGCUAACUCCGUGCCAGCAGCCGCGGUAAUACGGAGGAUGCGAGCGUUAUCCGGAUUUAUUGGGUUUAAAGGGUGCGCAGGCGGAUUUUUAAGUCAGCGGUAAAAUCGUGGGGCUCAACCCCAUCCAGCCGUUGAAACUGGGGAUCUAGAGUGUGCGAGAGGUAUGCGGAAUGCGUGGUGUAGCGGUGAAAUGCAUAGAUAUCACGCAGAACCCCGAUUGCGAAGGCAGCAUACCGGUGCACAACUGACGCUCAGGCACGAAAGCGUGGGUAUCGAACAGGAUUAGAUACCCCAGUAGUC